rnacentral:lncRNA from 1 species
AAUUAAAAGGAGAAGAACGAAAAUGGUCCCAUAAUUUUUGGACCAAUAAUGAGAGAGAUAUGAAUUUUUAAAAUAAAAUGGAAUUAAAAUAAAUAAAAGAAAUUAAAAUCAAAAAAUAGAAAAUGAGAAAAAGCGUGGAGCGUUGGAUCUGAGCUCAUUAAUUGAGCUGGCACAUCAUGUGGAUCACAACGCGCGCCUACCAAACACGUGAGUCAAACGAGUCACAUGGAGCAUUAAAAAAAG